rnacentral:rRNA from 1 species
CACGGUAAACGAUGGAUGCCCGCUGUUUGCGAUAUACUGUGAGCGGCCAAGAGAAAUCGUUAAGCAUCCCACCUGGGGAGUACGCCGGCAACGGUGAAACUCAAAGGAAUUGACGGGGGCCCGCACAAGCGGAGGAACAUGUGGUUUAAUUCGAUGAUACGCGAGGAACCUUACCCGGGCUUGAACUGCCAGCGAACGAUUCAGAGAUGAUGAGGUCCUUCGGGACGCUGGUGGAGGUGCUGCAUGGUUGUCGUCAGCUCGUGCCGUGAGGUGUCGGCUUAAGUGCCAUAACGAGCGCAACCCCUUUCUUUAGUUGCCAUCAGGUGAUGCUGGGCACUCUGGAGAUACUGCCACCGUAAGGUGUGAGGAAGGUGGGGAUGACGUCAAAUCAGCACGGCCCUUACGUCCGGGGCUACACACGUGUUACAAUGGGGGGUACAGAGAGUCGGUGCAUGGCAAUGUGCAUCUAAUCCUAAAAGCCUUCCUCAGUUCGGAUUGGGGUCUGCAACCCGACC